GCUUGAGCCUGGGAGUUCAAGGCUGCAGUGAGCUGUGAUCAUGCCACCACUGCUCUCUCGACUGGGCAACAGAGUGAGACCCUGACUCAAGAAAAAGAAAAAGAAAAAACUUCCAGGGUCAUAUUUAUUUGUAAACCAUUCCAGAGGUUAGAAAAGAGAUGUAAAGUUCUCUAAUUCAUUCCAUAUGGUUAGCAUAAUCCUUAUAGCAAACUGCACAAAUAAAGCACAGGGAAAACUGAACCAAAUUCAAUUAAUGUAGGUGCAAAAAUCCAAAAUAAAACUAGCACUUUGCAUUCAGCAGUGUAGUAAAAGAUACAUCAUUUUCAAGUAAGAUUUAUAUGAAAACAUGCAAGAUUGAGUCGAGAGUAACUCACUGUAGCUCACUAAAUUAACAGAUUAAAGAAUUAUACAGUCAUCUUCACAAGCUGAAAGAGCAUGUGAUAAAUUCCACAUCCUCUGGUACUCAACAGUCUCGAAAUAGAAAGAAACUUCCUUAGCUUAGCUUCUUGGCUUGAUUAAAUAUACCUCACAGACAUCUACAGGAAACAAACUUGGUGAAAAGUUUUUGCUAAGACAAAAACAGUACUAAAAGGUAUGCAUUUUGGGAAAUGGGACAAGGCUGUCACUGUUUGUAAAUAUGGGGGUUUUUUUGGACAGAAAAUUCCCCAUGAUGAUCUACUGAGAUGCUCUUACAGCUAAUAAAGCCUAGUAAGGAGGCUGUGCACAGCACCAACACACUGGGAUGAAAAGCAUAACAGAUUGAA